AGAGACACCACUGGCUCCUGAUGUCAUCUCUCAGGCCAGGCCCUAAGGUAGACUUUUAAUCCUUUCAGGGAAAAAAAAAAAGAACUGUGCGAGAGACUAAGCAAGAAGCAGGACAUCUCUUGCCACACAGAGCUUGAAGAAGCCUGUUCUUGGACAGCUGGAGGAAGCUGGAAAUGCUUGGGAGUUGAUCCCACCCUAACUGGGUUCCUCGGUCAGUGAGUCCAUCUGAUUUGGAAUAAACCCAGAGGCAGAGUUUAAACAGCAUGGCUUCUCCGUGGGCUGCAGCAAAGUCUGGGCUGCACUUGAAACUCGCCUAACUCUUUUCCACGUUCUGGACCUGCACAUGCGAGUUGCGCUUUGGAAGUAUUGCCUCGUGUACUUGUCUCCUCAUUUCAAGAUUGUUCCCUAGAGAGCCAGCGUCAAACAGGGGGGGACCUGAGUUCUAAGUGGAUGAACAGUUUUCCCUGAAUUGGAUCCUCAAGACCAGUCACAUGGAAUGAUUGCUGGGGUACCCAAAGGUGAAGGUUGCCUUCUAGAACUCUGUUACCUUGGCUCUGUCCCUGUCUAAAUAGCAAUGUCAUUUGACCCCUUGGCUCUCUUCCUGACUAAAUAACGAUUACAUUUCCAUCU